CAUGGGGCGUUGCCCCAUGCUAAUUUAUGACGCCCUUUCAGGGCU
rfam:Candidate division KSB1 bacterium 4484_87 ex4484_87_scaffold_5375, whole genome shotgun sequence.